rnacentral:rRNA from 1 species
GGGAAUAUUGCGCAAUGGCCGAAAGGCUGACGCAGCGACGCCGCGUGUGGGAGGAAGCCCUUCGGGGUGUAAACCACUGUCAGGAGGGACGAAACCCGGGCACUCGAAUAGGGUGUUCGAUUGACGGUACCUCCAAAGGAAGCGCCGGCUAACUCCGUGCCAGCAGCCGCGGUAAGACGGAGGGCGCGAGCGUUGUUCGGAAUCACUGGGCGUAAAGCGCACGCAGGCGGUCUCUUAAGUCCACUGUUAAAUCACGGGGCUCAACCCCGGAGGUGCAGCGGAUACUGAGGGACUGGAGACCGGUAGAGGCUAGCGGAAUUCCUGGUGUAGCGGUGGAAUGCGUAGAUAUCAGGAGGAACACCGGUGGCGAAGGCGGCUAGCUGGGCCGGUUCUGACGCUCAUGUGCGAAAGCGUGGGGAGCAAA